GCAUCAAUAGCUCAGUGGUAGAGCGAGAGAUUGCAGAUCUCUAGGUCAUGUGUUCGAUCCACAUUUGGUGCU